CGUAGGACGCAAGCGUUAUCCGGAAUUACUGGGCGUAAAGCGCGUGUAGGUGGUUGCAUAAGUCACUGUUGAAAGCUCCUGGCUAAACUGGGAGAGGUGCGGUGAGACUGUGCGGCUAGAGUAUGGGAGAGGGAUGCAGAAUUCCGGGUGUAGUGGUGAAAUGCGUAGAGAUCCGGAGGAAUACCAGAGGCGAAGGCGGCAUCCUGGCCUAAAACUGACACUGAGACGCGAAAGCAUGGGGAGCGAACGGGAUUAGAGACCCCGGUAGUCCAUGCCGUAAACGAUGCAAACUAGAUGUAUGUGAACCUACGGGUUUGUGUGCGUCGCAGCUAACGCGAUAAGUUUGCCGCCUGGGGAGUACGGUCGCAAGGCUA
rnacentral:rRNA from 1 species